rfam:Cupriavidus sp. SK-3 Scaffold126, whole genome shotgun sequence.
CGCGUUUUUCGCCCAGGCGGAGCUCGACCGCCGACUGAAGUCCUGAACGACUUCGUGGACCAGCAUCGCGCCACCCACGGAGUCGAGCCGAUCUGCAAGGCACUGCAGAUCGCCCCG